rnacentral:rRNA from 1 species
UACGUAGGUGACAAGCGUUGUCCGGAUUUACUGGGCGUAAAGAGCGCGCAGGCGGUCGUUCAAGUCGAGUGUGAAAGCCCCCGGCUCAACUGGGGAGGGUCACGCGAUACUGAUCGACUCGAAGGCAGGAGAGGGUAGUGGAAUUCCCGGUGUAGUGGUGAAAUGCGUAGAUAUCGGGAGGAACACCAGUGGCGAAGGCGACUACCCGGCCUGUUCUUGACGCUGAGGUGCGAAAGCUAGGGGAGCAAACGGG